GUACUCACUUUGGCAGCACAUACACUAAAAUCGGAAAGAUGCAGAGAUUAGCACGGCCCCUGCGCAAAGAUGACACAAAUUCGUGCAGCAUUCCAUAUUUUU